rnacentral:rRNA from 1 species
GAUAAACGCUGGCGGCGCACAUAAGACAUGCAAGUCGAACGAACUUAAUCGAAAGUUUACUUUUGAAGCGGUUAGUGGCGGACUGGUGAGUAACGCGUAAGUAAUCUGCCUAUCAGAGGGGAAUAACAGUGAGAAAUCAUUGCUAAUACCGCAUAUACUAAUUUUAUUGCAUGAUAGAAUUGGGAAAGGAGCAAUCCGCUGAUAGAUGGGCUUGCGUCUGAUUAGUUAGUUGGUAGGGUAAAGGCCUACCAAGACGAUGAUCAGUAGCCGGACUGAGAGGUUGAACGGCCACAUUGGGACUGAGAUACGGCCCAG